UAUAUAUAGAGAGAGAGAGAGAGAGAGAGAGAGAGAGAGAGAGAGAGUUGAGCUAGAAUACUAUCGAUAGCAAACGGGCUCCGUUGCCACCCAUUUGUUUUCAAUGAUAGAGCCUCCAAAUCGACGAUCGGCACUGUUGAAUAUGAUCUAUACCACUUGAAGUGUUUAGAAAUUAAAUUUCAUACAUUUUCGUUGUUCUCUUAUCCAUUGAGUGGACACAAAAAUGAACGGCUGAAAAUGAAUAUUCUUUAAACAAUGAUGAUAGGAGUCUUGUAAUCAAGAUCAAGAGUAUAGAUCUUGUUUUAAAUAGUUUUAAAAAUUUUCUAACAAAAAUUCAAUUGAUUUGAAUAACUUUACACUGUUAAAUGAGAAAAUGCCUCAAAUCGACCAUUAAAAUUACAAAUUUUGAAACCCUUAGAUCAUUAGGCAAAUGAUGUCAAAAAGAUUUGAUAUUUGAUUUCUAAACACUUCUAGUGGUAUAGAUCAUGCUCAAUGGUGCCGAUCGUCAUUUUGGAGGCUCUAUCAUCGAAAACAAAUGGGUGACAUCGUAGCCCAUUUGCUAUCGAUAGUAUUCUAACUCAACUCUCUCUCUCUCUUUCUCUCUCUCUCUCUCUCUCUCUCUCUCUAUAUAUAUAUAUAUAUAAUGCUAUCAGUAGCAAACUGACUGCCACCCAUUUAUUUUUGAUGAUGGGGCCUCCAAAUCGAUGAUCGGUAUCGUUAAACAUGAUCUAUACCACUUGAAGUAUUUAAAAACUAAAUUUUAAAUCCUUUCGACAUCAUUAGCCACAUAAUCAAAGGGUUUGAAAUUUUAUAAUUUUAAUGGCCAAUAUAAGACGUUUUCUCAUUUAAUAGUGUAAAGAUAUCCAAAUUAAUUGUAUUUUAGUUAGAAAAUUCUUUAAACUAUUUAGAACAAGAUCUAUACUCUUGAUCUUGGUUACAAGACUCCUAUUAUCACUUUUUAAAGGAUAUUCAUUUUCAGUUAUUUAUUAUUGUGCCUAUUUGAUAGACAAGAGAACAAUAUCGAAUAAAUAUGAAAUUUGAUUUCUAGAUGCUUCAAGUGGUAUAGAUCAUGUUCAACGGUACCAACCGUCGAUUUAGAGGCUCCAUCAUCGAAGAUAAAUAGGUGGCAAAUGAGCUCAUUUGCUACUAAUAGCAUUUCAGAUCUAAAAGCAAUACUAUGCUACUAUGCUAGAGCUAUUGUGCUACCGAAAGUAUAAAGGAUUUGAUGCUUCCAAAUUUUUGACCCUUGGAUCAAGAAUUUUAGAGUUGGAAUGAUUGUGGUCCUCCCUAGGAUUGUGUAGUACCCCUAGGGUUGAAUGGUCCCCACAGGAUAAUAGUAUUUAUUCAAAGAUUAGAAGUGAUUAAAGGGGCUGAUUUAAGGGCCAAAAAGUUGGAAGCAUCAGAUUCCCAUUGCUUCCGAUAGCAUAGUAGCUCUACUAUAUAUAUAUAUAUAUAUAUAUAUACAUAUAUAUAUAUACAUAUAUAUAUAUACACUACAACAAAAACGGUUUAUAGCGACACUUUUAAAUAUAGGUACAUGUCAAAAAAGUGCUACUAGCUAAAAUUACCGACACUUUUAAAAAGUGUUGCUAUAUGUGGGGUCGCUAGGUAUAUAGUGACAGUUAAAGAGUGUCGCUAUAACCUAAAAGA
rnacentral:lncRNA from 1 species